rnacentral:rRNA from 1 species
AGAUUGAACGCUGGCGGAAUGCUUUACACAUGCAAGUCGAGCGGCAGCGCGGGGCAACCUGGCGGCGAGCGGCGAACGGGUGAGUAAUGCAUCGGAACAUGUCCAUGUCGUGGGGGAUAGCCCGGCGAAAGCCGGAUUAAUACCGCAUACGCCCGAGAGGGGAAAGUGGGGGACCGCAAGGCCUCACGCGAUUGGGUUGGCCGAUGUCCGAUUAGCUAGUUGGCGGGUAAUGGCCCACCAAGGCGAUGAUCGGUAGCUGGUCUGAGAGGAUGAUCAGCCACACUGGGACUGAGACACGGCCCAGACUCCUACGGGAGGCAGCAGUGGGAAUUUUGGACAAUGGGGGCAACCCUGAUCCAGCCAUUCCGCGUGAGUGAAGAAGGCCGUUACGGGUUGUAAAGCUCGUUUUCGUCCGGUAACGAAACGGUUAGACGUAGAAGUAUCGCUGCCUACGUGACGGUACCGGAAGAAUAAG